rnacentral:lncRNA from 1 species
AUCUCUUCUUAGCCCUUGGUUGCAGUUAUCAUCAUCAGGACCCUGAGUAUCUCCAUGGUCAUUUGCCCCAGACACCUUCAGAGUAUAGGAAAGUGACAGAAAGGCUUUUGCAUCUCUGGAUCCAUUUCUUUUUUCAAGUCAGCUGGGCUCAGACUAAUGUCUCGUGGACCAAGGCCAUGGCAUCAGGCUAGUUCUACGGGUAGAAGGUUUAGCAUAAAUCAACUCUCAUUCAUAACUAACAGCUUCUGCGGUGUACAACUGACUCUCCCUUUUUCCAAAUGCAUUCACAUCUCUACUUGUCCAUUUAUAACUUCUAUGCUCUUUAGGGAUGUCAGACUUUGGAGAUGGGGUUAACUGGAUAAAGUGGGCUUUCAAAUGUCAUGGCAAAGUCUUCCUCUUCUACCUUUAAAAUGAUACCUCCCCUAAACAUUUCAUCUGGUACCUGGGAUUCCUAAAGAAGAAAACCAAGCCUUAACACCCUCAAUGAGAGAAGUGGUUUCAAAUGCAAACUCGUGGAGCUGAGAUUCACACUCAGUAUGGCUUGACGAGUGGUGCUGGGUCUGCUCCUGGGAUCUGAACCUACGAACCCCAGGCCACCGAAGCACAGCAUGCCAACUCAACCACUACACCAUCAGGCUGGCCCCUGCACAAGUGUUUUUGAUGGAAGGAAAUGUAAAGGUUGGAGAGCCAGAGUCCAUGGCCGAGGAAGAACAAAGAUCUCUCUCCCGGAUGCAGCCAGCUGCCAAUGUGCCGAAGUUCGGAGUGGUUCUCUCAUUGAAGGACAACAGAUCUCUCAAAUAACGGAUGAUUUACUGACAGUCUUGCUGAGUCUCGUGCAUGGAAAGAUGGACUGGGGUCGAAAGGACUAAACUGGAAGCAGCAUCAGGUGGAGAAGGUGGCAUCACCAGACAUCACCAGCUGUCACUAAGCCUUGAAGACAUCCAGCUCUUUGUUCAACAGACACUGACGGAAAAUUCCUGUGGACAGAUGGAACGAAAGGAAAUCAAGUAUAGACAUAAACAGCACUUGUCAUUUGAAGUCUGCAUUUGUAAGGAUUGUUGUUGAGGUGAGGAGCCUGAGCUGAUGACUUCAAGUAAUUGAGGUAAUAUUUCAAGUGAUAUACACACAUUCCUACUUGAUAGAUCUUCCUCUCUAACUAGCC